rnacentral:rRNA from 1 species
GAGCGGCGGACUGGUGAGUAACACGUAGCUAACCUACCCUCUUGACGGGGACAACUGCCCGAAAGGACAGCUAAUACCCGAUGUGGCUACGGGUCGAUGGAUCUGUAGCCAAAGGCGGUCCUGCCGCCGCGAGGGGAUGGGGCUGCGGCCUAUUAGCUCGUUGGCAGGGUAACGGCCUACCAAGGCUAUGAUGGGUAGCUGGUCUGAGAGGAUGGUCAGCCACACUGGGACUGAGAUACGGCCCAGACUCCUACGGGAGGCAGCAGUGGGGAAUCUUUCGCAAUGGGCGCAAGCCUGACGGAGCGACACCGCGUGAGGGAUGAAGGCCUUCGGGUCGUAAACCUCUUUUCCGGGGAAAGAAUAAGGGCGGGAGGAAAUGCCAGCCCGAUGACGGUACCUCGGGAAUAAGCAUCGGCUAACUCUGUGCCAGCAGCCGCGGUAAGACAGAGGAUGCAAGCGUUACCCGGAUUCACUGGGCGUAAAGGGCGUCUAGGCGGCCAGGUAAGUCACCUGUGAAAGCCCUCAGCUCAACUGAGGAUGGUCAGGUGAUACUGCUCGGCUUGGGUGCAGGAGAGGAGGGUGGAACUCAUAGAGUAGCGGUGGAAUGCGUAGAUACUAUGAGGUACCCCGAUGGCGAAGGCAACCCUCUGGCCUGUUACCGACGCUGAAGCGCGAAAGCGUGGGGAGCAAAGGGGAUUAGAUACCCCCGUAGUCCACGCCCUAAACAAUGUUCACUGGGUGUCGGUCGCUAUAUACAGAUCGGUGCCGAAGCUAACGCGUUAAGUGAACCGCCUGGGGAGUACGGCCGCAAGGCUAAAACUCAAGAGAAUUGACGGGACCCCACACAAGCGGUGGAGCACGUGGUUUAAUUCGACGAUAAACGAAGAACCUCACCUGGGCUUGACAUGCUAGUGGUAGGAACCGGAAACGGGGACGACCUUUGCCUUCGGGCAGAGGAGCUAGCACAGGUGAUGCAUGGCUGUCGUCAGCUCGUGUCGUGGGACGUUGGGUUAAGUCCCGAAACGAGCGCAACCCCUGUCAUCAGUUGCCAGCGGGUAAUGCCGGGGACUCUGAUGAGACUGCCGAUGAAUAGUCGGAGGAAGGAGGGGAUGAUGUCAAGUCAUCAUGUCCCUUAUGCCCAGGGCGACACACAUGCUACAAUGGAGGGUACAAAGGGUCGCAAUCCCGCAAGGAGGAGCUAAUCCCAAAAAGCCUUCCUCAGUUCGGAUUGAGGUCUGCAACUCGACCUCAUGAAGCCGGAAUCGCUAGUAAUCGCAGGUCAGCCAUACUGCGGUGAAUACGUACUCGGGGUUUGUACACACCGCCCGUCACACCAACCGAGUGGGGGGUACCUGAAGUUGUCGGACUAACCCGUAAGG